AACUAUAACGGUCCUAAGGUAGCGAAAUUCCUUGUCGGGUAAGUUCCGACCUGCACGAAUGGCGUAACGACUUCCCCGCUGUCUCCAACAUCGACUCAGCGAAAUUGAAUUGCCUGUCAAGAUGCAGGCUUCCCGCGGUUAGACGGAAAGACCCCGUGCACCUUUACUACAGCUUCGCACUGGCAUCAGGAUUGUGACGUGCAGGAUAGGUGGUAGGCAUCGAAACGUGAACGCUAGUUCACGUGGAGCCUCCCUUGAGAUACCACCCUUCGCACUCUUGAUGUCUAACCGCGGUCCGUUAUCCGGAUCCGGGACCCUGCGUGGCGGGUAGUUUGACUGGGGCGGUCGCCUCCUAAAGCGUAACGGAGGCGCGCGAAGGUUGGCUCAGAGCGGUCGGAAAUCGCUCGUUGAGUGCAAUGGCAGAAGCCAGCCUGACUGCGAGACUGACAAGUCGAGCAGAGACGAAAGUCGGCCAUAGUGAUCCGGUGGUCCCGAGUGGAAGGGCCAUCGCUCAACGGAUAAAAGGUACGCCGGGGAUAACAGGCUGAUACUGCCCAAGAGUCCAUAUCGACGGCAGUGUUUGGCACCUCGAUGUCGGCUCAUCUCAUCCUGGGGCUGGAGCAGGUCCCAAGGGUACGGCUGUUCGCCGUUUAAAGAGGUACGUGAGCUGGGUUUAGAACGUCGUGAGACAGUUCGGUCCCUAUCUGCCGUGGGUGUAGGAUACUUGAGAGGAGUUGCCCCUAGUACGAGAGGACCGGGGUGAACGAACCACUGGUGGACCAGUUGUCGUGCCAACGGCAGUGCUGGGUAGCUAUGUUCGGACAGGAUAACCGCUGAAGGCAUCUAAGCGGGAAGCCCCCCUCAAAACAAGGUAUCCCUGAGGGCCGAGGUAGACCACCUCGUCAAUAGGCCAGAGAUGUAAGCGUGGUAACACGUUCAGUUGACUGGUACUAAUCGCCCGAUUGGCUUGAU
rnacentral:rRNA from 1 species